rnacentral:rRNA from 1 species
ACGCUCGACACCUACGGGAGACAGCAGUGGGGAAUAUUGGGCAAUGGAGGAAACUCUGACCCAGCAACGCCGCGUGAAUGAUGAAGGUCUUCGGAUUGUAAAGUUCUUUUCUAAGGGAAGAAGAAAGUGACGGUACCUUAGGAAUAAGCCUCGGCUAACUACGUGUCAGCAGCCGCGGUAAUCUGAGCGGGCUGGCAAGGC